UAUUGUUUUUAUUAGGUCUUUCCACCUUUCCGUGGAAAGACCUAUUGAAUUUGUUCUGAUUAUUAUUAUUAUUAUUUUUUUUUUUUUUUCUUCCGCCUAAUUUUUUUUCUUGCGUAUUAUUGAUGUUUCAAAAGAUGUCGCUUAGAUAUUUGGAAUAUGGUAUCGUAUAGUUUAUACGCUUUAAAAAUUUACAACUGUGUAACAAAAUACUUUACGUUGUAAGAGUUAUCUCCCCAAACACUGUUUUUCUUGUGGCCACUACUCCUUCGCAACCGUUAAAGAUUACGACAAAUUUAUUUUACCAAAUUGCUCGUUACAUCUUCAGGAUUAGGAUAUUCAUUUGGACCGAAGCUUUAUGGAGACUCCAUAUGAGAGUUAUUCCCCCUUUUCCAUUUAAUUAAGUGAUAUGCAUUUCUAAAUGGUAAACCAUAAGUGAUAAAGACAUAGGGUCUUUAGAUUUGGGGUUCUUGGUCGAAAAUAAUAAAAAUGAGGUCAAGGUCAAAGGUCAAGGUCAUAUUCUAAAUUUUGAUUUUGGCUUAUUUUCAUUUAUUUUCAAAUACCUUAUGACAUAUCGACAAAUAAUUUUUCAUAAAUUGUUAGUUGCGACAUGUCCUUACUUAUAUAUUUUGAUUGAAAGGGUGCGCAGACAAUAAAUGGGAGUUUUUGCCCAUCUUACAUAUAGAAUUACGCAUAAAGUGAUAUUACUAAUAAACCAAACAUAUUAAAGACCUUGGGUCUUUUAAUUUAAGGUCCUUGGUUUGUGAACUUGAAAUUGAGGUCAAGGUCAUAGGUUAAUAUGACGUUCUAGAUUUUGACCUUUGCUUUAAAUUCAUAUAAAUACAUCAUAAAGCCAUAGGAACUAAUAUUUUAAACUGAUUUUUAAUAUUUCAAUAUCAAAAUAGAUCUUUACUAGUGGAAAGACCUACAAUUGUUCUCUGAACAAUUGGUUUUUAAU
rnacentral:lncRNA from 1 species